CUGAACAGCAAAAAAAUGCUCUUAUAUCUAACCUAAAGUCUGUAUGAAGUUGAAACCUUUCUCCCUUUCCUGCCUCAGGGGGAAAAAAUGUGACCAGCACCUGCUGUGAAUGUUAAUAUGUCUUAAAAUUACUGUUAAACCCAGUCUUUCAUACAAGAAAUUCUCAAGAAUUCUGGAUAUAGCCUGGAGUAAGAUCAGGGUAUACAAAGAAAUUAUAACUUCUUCAUCUUUUCCUUCUUGAGGAUGACUAAUUCCAGUUAUAGUUGAAUCUUGAACAUUGCAGGGGGUAGUGGGAAGGGGUUAGGGUCUGACACCCACUCCAACACAGUCAAAAAUCUGAGUACAACUUUUGACUCCCCCAAAACUUAACUACUGAUAGUCUGCUAUUGACUGAAGGCCUUACCAAUAACAUAAAGUCAAUUUACACUUAUUUUGUGUUGUAUAUAUUAGACACUGUAUUCUUACAAGUCAGCUAAAGAAAAAAUUUUUUCAUAUUGUUGCAAAUCUCCAAAAACUUAUCCGAUAUAUUUAUUAAAAAAAAGUGGACCUGUGCAGUUCCAACCCAUGUUGUUCAAGGGUCAACUAUACUUUAACCUCUUUAUCAGACUGUAUUUUUCCUUGAGUAUGACAGCAAAUCAAGCUAACUAAGGUAAGGGUCUUGAGAAGUUAAAAAAGGCAAGAGGAUAAUUUCACUUGCUUUGACAGAUGGUCAAAAAUUAAAUGAGCACGACAACUUGAAGCACAACCCAGCAACUGUCACCUAGCCUCUUCCUGCUCCCUGCUGUCCUCAAUCUUCCUUCACAGCUCUUCUCACUGGUUUGCCACACAGGUCAGAUAAGAGGCUCAAUUUAUCAGACAUAGGGAAACAUGGCUCUUGGAAUCCACCUUAUUUAACUAAAAUGACCUACGUAAUUGUGUGGUCUUUAGUGAAUUUCACAUGGCUGUAACUUGUGCACAUUUGUCCACAAUCACUAAGCAAAUAGCAUAGUUAUGGCAUAUGUCACUGGAAAUGCUUCACAAUUGUUCCUAUGAUAGGGUAAAAAAAAAUCCUUUGUGUGUGUGCGUGUGUGUAAAGAUAAGUAUGAAAUAAAGACUUUUUAAUGAAAAUAAUAAUGAUAACAAAAUAAAAUGACCUACAUAUUAAGGCCAGACCUGGCCAGGUGAAUGCUGAAGGGGUCAACUGGAAAAAAAGAAAAAUGCCUAUUGCUACCACUUCUGACUGUGGUAAACAGUUCAAAACUAAGUAUAAAUACACUUUAAAAAGAAGUGAUUAUACUGCAAAGAAGUAAAAAGCUAACCUUUUCAAACAAUAUUGCUUCUCUCUCACUUACCAACUUUACAUUUCCCUGUAUGGCCCUGGAAGAUGACUGGUUAGCCAGAGACGGGUAAGAUUCCUCAAGGGAGGAACAACCUAAGACAGGCACAGUCGCAGGGGGGCCAUCAGGUGAGAAAUUGGGGAUCAACAGAGGUGAAGCUUAGAACCUCACCCCCCCUGUUCUGAGAGAAAUCUUCUGCAUCCGUGGAUGUUUUGUUGCCCUUGUCUAGCUCGGAUUAAUACUUAGUCUACAGGCACACACCUGAUCAUCUACAUUUGCCCUCUUACAGCACUAAACUAUGUUUUCUACCUUUAUCUUGCAUCUACCUACCACUUCAGCAUUUUAUUUAAAAAAUAAAUUAAUAAUAAUAAUAAUAAUAAUAAUAAUAAUAAUAAGGGAGAAAUGUGGGAUUCGCAUAUAAAUCAAGUAUAAAAAUCAAAUGAAUAUUCAUAUUUGACCUGAUUGUUUAUAGUUCAUAAUGCGUGAUCAAAACCGAAAGUUUCUGUGAUGACUGCCCUUGCACUGUUCACCAUGUAAGAACUUAUUCACUAUGUAAGAAUUUGUUCACCAUGUAAGAACUUGUUCAUUAUGCUUCAGAAGAUUGGAGACUGUUGAGAAUUAGGCUUGGGGUUGAUUAAUGAUUGUGCAUUGAGUCCCCUAUACAGAAUUUUAUUGUUGUUAACAACCAUUUGAUCAAUAAAUAUGAGAGAUGCCCUCUCAAAAAAAAAGAAGUGAUUAUAAGGUUUACCAGUGUGGUAGGUAAAAAAAACAGAAAGUCAGACCUAGGAAGGAUACAGAAAAGGAAAGGACUAACUACAAUGGUCAAAAAAACAGGCUUCAAAGAACUACAAAAAUUAAGUUUCCCUUUCCCUGGUUAUUGUGCACAUGUGACUAGCUAGUGUUGGCCCAAAUCACUAGCAGAAUAUUAUUCCAAGUAGCUUAUUAUGCACCCCACUCAUCCCAUUUAUAGCCAGGGCACACUUUAGGAAGGAUGAGCUCCAGCAUCUAUCUAGAAGCAUUACUAGACCAUAAGAUACCUAUUUCCAUAAACACCCAAGACUACCCUGCUGCUAUUCAUUUCAAUUGUUUGACUUGGAUUGGUUAGGUGAGGAGAUAGAGCAGAAUUCGCAGAUUCACCAGAAUCUGACAGGGGCCGCAACGUGAAUGUUUCUGCUGUGGACCUGUUAUCCUCUACGAUCCCUGAAUUUAAAAACUGAGCAGCAGAACACAGCUGCUUUUAUGCAAAUAGUGCUUUGUCAAUGAAAGCAAUAAAGCAACAACUGUGCCAGUUCAGGCCACAGCUUUCCAGGGUUCUGCCCCUUUCAGACACCAACACAUGAUGCUGUGCCCAGUGGACACAAUUAAGAGCUAUGAACUGUAGCUUUUUACUGUCACUCCUUGGCCACCGCUGGAGAGAUCACCAACGUGCAUGUGUGUUUACUUUUAUGCAGGGAACCUGGUUGAUUAUGUGACCGCUCUGGCAAAAGCACUUUGACAACUGUAAGAAGAGAGGGCAUGCGCACACAAGGAACUGUGGGGGCUGAAGUCCUUCACAAGUAAGCAGAAUUGAAAGGUGGCUCUCCAAGAUUCCAGGCUAGAAGGAAACAGGAACCAUAACUGCAAUCCUGCCAACCACAAGAACAAGCUUGAAAGCAGAUCUGACACCCUAACCAGAGAAACCAGUCAUGUUGCAUCAGACUUCUGACCUACAGAAUUGAUAAUAAAUGAGUGUUGUUUUAAGUCAUUAAACUUCUGGUAAAUUUGUUGCACAGGAGUAGAAAACUAAUACAACAUUAUUCCAUUUUCUUUGAAAACACUGCUUUCCUGGCUUUUCACUUCUAAAGUUUCUUCUCAGUCUCCUGACCACUCCUCCUCAGUCAGCUUUCCCCAGGGUUCUCCUAAUAUUCCACUGUCCCUGGGCAAUGUUAUGUUCAUGAAUAGGGAAGUUCACCACUAUCUAGGUUUUCAGAUAAAAAAUCUUGUUGCUAGGUUCCAAGCCACUAUUUAACUAACACUUCUCUGAGGAUCUUACAGCACCUCUUCUCCCACGAAAGUGCUUCUGUCUUUAUUCCUAGUUAACUUACCUUUAUCCUACUUAACAGCACCACCAUCCAUGUAGUGACUCAACUUAGGAAUCUGAACAUGACUUCAUCCUUUCCCUUCUCCAUCACUAAAGGACAAAUCCAGCCAGUCACUAAAACUUGUUAAUUCCACCUCCUAAAUUUCUGCUUGACAUCCCCUCUUCUUCAUUCAUAGCCACUAUAGUAUUUCACCUGAACUAUGGUAGUAAUAUCCUAAUGUCUCUCCAUUAAGUACCUUUCCAAAUAUGGCCUCCUCAGUUAUUCUGUUUUACUGUUUUAUGCCUCUCCCUAAAACUCUAUAAUUACUUUUCCCUUGUCGAGGAUAAAAUGCAAACUUAACUCAUCUACUCUUCUUUCUGGCCACACCAAACAAUGACAGGCCCUUGAAUGCACAUACUCUUCUACUGUAAUGCUUCUGCACCUUCUCCUUUUGCCUAAGAUACCUGUCUACCUCUGCUCACCUGCUCCUACUCACCCAUUAGAGCUCAUUUCAAAUGUCACCUCCUUAAGAUUCCUCAAGGGAGGA